rnacentral:rRNA from 1 species
GAUGAACGCUAGCGGCAGGCCUAAUACAUGCAAGUCGAGGGGUAGAAGAGGCUUGCUUCUUUGAGACCGGCGCACGGGUGCGUAACGCGUAUGCAACCUACCUUCAUCUGGGGGAUAGCCCGGAGAAAUCCGGAUUAAUACCGCAUAAAAUCACAGGAUGGCAUUAUCCAAUGAUCAAACAUUUAUGGGAUGGAGAUGGGCAUGCGUGUCAUUAGCUAGUUGGCGGGGUAACGGCCCAACAAGGCGACGAUGACAAGGGGAUCUGAGAGGAUGGCCCCCCACACUGGUACUGAGACACGGACCAGACACCUACGGGAGGCAGCAGUAAGGAAUAUUGGUCAAUGGAGGCAACUCUGAACCAGCCAUGCCGAGUGCAGGAAGACUGCCCUAUGGGUUGUAAACUGCUUUUAUUCGGGAAUAAACCUUAUUACGUGUAAUAAGCUGAAUGUACCGAAGGAAUAAGGAUCGGCUAACUCCGUGCCAGCCGCCGCAGUAA